AGACAAUUGGUUUUAUUCCUAUCCUGAGUACCUAUGAUAGUAACCACAUCUGCGAGCAUGUGAUGUUUCGACAUAAAAUCCAGCCCUUGUAAAUGAGCAAAACCACGUGCUCGAAUUUUACAACGAUAAGGAGGAUUGGUUCCGUUGCUAACUAAAUAUACACCAAAUUCUCCUUUGGGUGCUUCUACACAGGUGUACGUAGAAGAAGUUGGUACAGACACACCCUCCGUGUAAAGCUUAAAGUGAUGAAUUAAGGAUUCCAUGGAUUGUUUCAUUUGAGAGCGUGAACGGUCUGGUGGCGCAUCUGUUUUGGGUACAGAGGGUCAUAGGUUCGAAUCCUGUCACCUUGAGUCAAAAUCAGAGUAAAUUGACAUGAAAAUCAAUCGACCAUUAUCACCUCAUAUUACACUUUAGGAUGGGGUAUAGAACCAGGUGGAGAAGUUAUUAAUACAUUCCCUUAUUUUGUCUCUGGGGUCUUGCAUUUAAUUUCUUCUGCUGUUYUAGGAUUUGGAGGUGUAUAUCAUGCACUUAUUGGCCCAUAAACUCUAGAAGAGUUUUUUUAUUUUUUUGGUUAUGUAUGGAAGGACAAAAAUAAGAUGACUACUAUUUUAGGAAAUUUAGGCAUUCAUUUGAUUCUACUAGGUACGGGUGCAUUAUUAUUAGUAGCAAAAGCAAUCUGGUUUGGAGGCCUUUAUGACACUUGGGCACCAGGAGGAGGAGAUGUUAGAAAAAUUACUAAUAUAACUCUAAAUCCUAGUACAAUAUUUUGUUAUCUUUUAAAACCUCUAAAAAUCCAUAUUGUAGAGAUGCUUUUCAUUUUAUUAUAAAACGACAAAUCACAAAUUCCUUUUAACUUGAAUCUAAUAAGCAAAAAAAAAGAUUUUGAUUGAUUUCUUUUUAAGCAUAUAAAGAUUUUUAUUAUUAUUUUUUUUUUAGCAAAAAUGUAAAAACGUAUAUAUAAAAAUAAGUACUUGAUAAAGUCAUGUCUAAAUAACAUAAAUAAUCUAUAUUUAUAUCUCUCUAUAAACAAUCAAAGAAUAGAAUAUCAAUUUUUUUUACAUAAAAGUAUAAAUAUAARUAGAGAAUAUCAUAUCUUAUGAAUAUCAUAUAUUAUAUUAUAUCAUGUAUCUAUAUAUGUAUCAUAUAUAUAGUAUACAGAAUUAUAUAUUACACAUGAAAUAAAAAAAAGAAAAUAGAAUAUAGGAAAAUGGCAGUUCGAACAAAAAAUUGAGGACAAUAUCCUGCAAAAAAAUGAGAAUCACGACCUCCUUCUUCUUUGCGAAGUAUAUAAAUUUGUGCUUCAAAACGAGUAUGUGGUACCUGGUUGAGCUAUUACCAUUCCUCUUUCUAUAUCUUUUUUCUCAAUACCUCUUAAAAGUACACCAAUAUUUUCGCCAGCAAAACCUUGGUCUAAAAGUCUUCUAAACAUUUUCAGCCCUGUAACAACAGUACUACGAGAUUUUCGUUUAAGCCAAUUAAUUCAACAAAAUCUCCUAAUUUUAAGAUACCACGUUCUAUUCGGCCUGUGGCGACUGUACCACGGCCUUGAAUUGAAAACACGUCAAAAAUGGUGAUCGGUUCAAGGAUACAAGGUGAGAAGGAGUGAAGAAAACACUCUGAGCUAACAUCCUAGUACUAGGUGCUACGGCACUGAAGUAAUUCAUGCCAUGCUCCCAAGAAAAGCUCGAAAGACUAAUAAUAAGUGGGUGCCUGUACCUCAAACCGACACAGGUAGGUAGGUAGAGAAUACCUAGGGGCGCGAGACAACUCUCUCUAAGGAACUCGGCAAAAUAGCCCCGUAACUUCGGGAGAAGGGGUACCUUCUUAUACAGGAGGUUGCAGUGACCAGGCCCAGGCGACUGUUUACCAAAAACACAGGUCUCCGCAAUGUCGUAAGACUACGUAUGGGGGCUGACGCCUGCCCAGUGCCGGAAGGUGAAGGAAGUUGGUAAUUCCUAUUAUGGUGAAGCUAGCAACUGAAGCCCCGGUGAACGGCGGGCGUAACUAUAACGGUCCUAAGGUAGCAAAAUUCCUUGUCGGGUAAGUUCCGACCCGCACGAAAGGCGUAAUGAUCUGGGCGCUGUCUCGGAGAGAGACUCGGUGAAAUAGACAUGUCUGUGAAGAUGCGGACUACCUGCACCUGGACAGAAAGRCCCUAUGAAGCUUUACUGUUCCCUGGGAUUGGGUUUGGGCUUUUCCAGCGCAGCUUAGGUGGAAGGCUUAGUAGGUCUUUUUCCGGAAAGACUGGAGCCAUCAGUGAAAUACCACUCUUGAGAAGCUAGAAUUCUAACCUUAUGUCGUUUCCGGCUAAGGAAAAGUCUCAGGUAGACAGUUUCUAUGGGGAGUAGGCCUCCCAAAGGGUAAUGGAGGCGUGCAAAGGUUCCCUCAGGCUGGACGGAAAUCAGCCAUUGAGCUUCCUGUCUUUGUUUUUAAAAAAAACUACCAAACCAUCGGGUGUAAACCGACCCUAUCCCUACCCACCUAACGUCACCCAAGAGGGAUAGUUCCUGCCGGAGGCUCUACCUCAACCAAUGGGUUAUCUCCAUCUUUCCUUCAAAAGGUAAUCCUAGCGAAGUUACCCCUACUCCAUAUCUUUCCAAACCGAUAGAAGCUCUUCCUUUUCCAAUCCGCAAAUAAUGCUACCGUCUUCACCCGAAUAGAACGUCCGGUCAUUAGAGCCGCAUUUGGCACAACUUUCCAUCCAGAUGC
rnacentral:rRNA from 1 species